CCUACGGGAGGCAGCAGUGAGGAAUAUUGGUCAAUGGACGCAAGUCUGAACCAGCCAAGUAGCGUGCAGGAUGACGGCCCUCCGGGUUGUAAACUGCUUUUAGUUGGGAAUAAAAGGGGGCUCGUGAGCCCCGUCUUGUAUGUACCAUCAGAAAAAGGACCGGCUAAUUCCGUGCCAGCAGCCGCGGUAAUACGGAAGGUCCGGGCGUUAUCCGGAUUUAUUGGGUUUAAAGGGAGCGUAGGCCGGCUUUUAAGUCAGCGGUAAAAUCGUGGAGCUCAACUCCAUCCAGCCGUUGAAACUGAUGAUCUUGAGUGGGCGAGAAGUAUGCGGAAUGCGUGGUGUAGCGGUGAAAUGCAUAGAUAUCACGCAGAACUCCGAUUGCGAAGGCAGCAUACCGGAGCCCGACUGACGCUGAAGCACGAAAGCGUGGGUAUCGAACAGGAUUAGAUACCCCUGUAGUC
rnacentral:rRNA from 1 species